CCCUACAGUCAAGUCAACCGGAAUGUUCCCGAUCUCAUUGGAGCUCGGAAGCAAAGCGGAAUGGAGCCUGGAAUAGUGCUCGGAUGGGUGACCACCAUACACAUGCAUGCAUACGUGUGUGGU
rnacentral:rRNA from 1 species